UCAAACUUGGUCAUUUAGAGGAAGUAAAAGUCGUAACAAGGUCUCCGUUGGUGAACCAGCGGAGGGAUCAUUACCGAGUUUACAACUCCCAAACCCCUGUGAACCUUACCACCGUUGCCUCGGCGGGACUCGCGCCCGCCAGAGGACCCUAAAACUCUUGCUUUUACCAGUGGUAUCUUCUGAGUCUUCUAUAAAUAUAUCAAAACUUUCAACAACGGAUCUCUUGGUUCUGGCAUCGAUGAAGAACGCAGC
rnacentral:misc_RNA from 1 species